rnacentral:lncRNA from 1 species
UUGUGCUCCGCUACUUUUACCUUUACCUUUACCCCAUAGCUGUCUGCUGAUAUGGUGAGUGAAUUUGAAGAAGAUUUGUCUUUUGUAACACAUUCACAUAAAAGGAUAAGGGUUUAAUGCACCUUAUGUGAUCUAGGGUUUUCCUGAUUGCUAGCUUGACCCUUAGAGUCAAACCUUUUACCCAAGGUCGUAGAUUGAGUUCUAGAUUG